GCUUUGCUGGAUCCGUGCCAAACAGCUGGGCUGGCUUCACAGCUUUCACCAUUUCCAGUGGACUUGGCUGUGUCCGGUAGGAAAUGACAUUUAUGACAGAAAUUUCCAACUUCUGCACUACUGACAUUCUGGACAACAGCCUUUGUUGUAGGGACAUCCCUGCAGGAUACCUUGUAACACCUGUCACUACUCGCUAGAUAUUGCUAGCCACAUCUCACACCCGGUUGUGAUAUUCAAGUGUCUCCAGAUGUUACCAAGUAGUUCCUCAGUUGAGAACCCCAGCUUAAAGGGCCAGAAAUGGUGGUGCACACCUUUAAUCCCAGCACUCAGGAGACAGACGCAGGUAGAUCUCCAUGGAUCCAAAACCAGUCUGGUCUACAAAGUGAGUCCAGGAUACCUAAGACUUUGUUACACUGAGAACCCCUGCCUUGAAAAAUAAAAUAAACAAAACCAAAUACACCGUUUAGGGAGUAUAGAGAUGGCUCAGCAGCUAAGAGCACUGACCGCAUCAGUCACUGCGCAUGCGGAGGAGAUGGGGGCAGGAUCUGGAGCUUCGAUGAGUACUGCAGGUAUGAACGACAUUGGAGACUGUUCGGGAGGACAGCUCACUCAAUGAAGUAGAUGGGGUAGAUAAUACAACUCAAGUCAUGGGGGAAAGGGGAACAAGGACAAGGGAGGAGGUGCUGCAGUGGGAGCGGGGCCUUCCAAGCACAUCAGCGGGACUAGCAGACUGCUGCCUACUUGACUCUGAGAGGCCAGGUGUCUAGCAAGGAAACAGAAGCCUAACUGACUUUAUCAAGAAUUAGCCUUUGGGCCUAUGGAGUUGAGUAGGCCCAAGCCUGAACCUUCAGGAAAGGUCUGUACUUGAAACAAUCAGGCUGGAGUGGUUUGGUUUCUCUGUGUAGCCUUAGCUGUUUUGGAAUUUGCUCUGUAGGCCAGGCUGGCCUCAUAUUCAGAAAUGCACCCGCCUCUGCCAGGAUUAAAGGUAUGCAGCACCACUGCACAGCUCAGGCUAGGCUUAUGAGUGGCAGGUGAACCCUUGCCCACGGUGGUUGGCCAUUUAGGGAGGAAUGAAGAACAAAUGGAGUCUCCAAAUCACAAGACUCCUAAGAAAUAUGGGAGGUAGGUUUCUAUCUCCUAAUGGCUACCCUCCCAGUUUAAGUUCAGACAGCCAUUUUAAGUACCUGCAGCAACCAAACCAUAGGGCUGCUGUGCAACAGCCAUCCUUUUGUUCAGAGGG
rnacentral:lncRNA from 1 species